CCUACGGGUGGCAGCAGUGGGGAAUAUUGGACAAUGGGCGCAAGCCUGACCCAGCAACGCCGCGUGAAGGAAGAAGGAUUUCGGGUUGUAAACUUCUUUUCUCAGGGACGAAGAAAGUGACGGUACAUGAGGAAUAAGCCACUGAUAACUACGUGCCAGCAGCCGCGGUAAUACGUAGGCGGCAAGCGUUAUCCUGUUGUCUUGGGUGUAAAGGGCGUGUAGGCGGGAGCGCAAGUCAGAUGUGAAAACUCAGGGCUCAACCCUGGGCCUGCAUUUGAAACUGUGUAUCUUGAGUGCUGGAGAGGCAAUCGGAAGUCCGUGUGUAGCGGUGAAAUGCGUAGAUAUACGGAGGAACACCAGUGGCGAAGGCGGAUUGCUGGACAGUAACUGACGCUGAGGCGCGAAAGCGUGGGGAGCAAACAGGAUUAGAUACCCGAGUAGUC
rnacentral:rRNA from 1 species